GAUGAAGAACGUAGCGAAAUGCGAUAGGUAAUGUGAAUUGCAGAAUUCAGUGAAUCAUCGAAUCUUUGAACGCACAUUGCGCCCGCCAGUAUUCUGGCGGGCAUGCCUGUUCGAGCGUCAUUUCAACCAUCAAGCCCCCGGCUUGUGUUGGGGACCUGCGGCUGCCGCAGGCCCUGAAAACCAGUGGCGGGCUCGCUAGUCACUCCGAGCGUAGUAAUACAUCUCGCUCAGGGCGUGCUGCGGGUUCCGGCCGUUAAAAGCCUUAUUUACCCAAGGUUGACCUCGGAUCAGGUAGGAAGACCCGCUGAACUUAAGCAUAUCAAUAAGCGGAGGA
rnacentral:misc_RNA from 1 species